AGAAAUUUUUCAAAUUUUGAGCACGCGUGAUGCAUGGAUUUGCAUUGCUAAUAUAAUCUUUUUUCCCAAGGUCUUUAUUGAAUCGCAAAAACAUUACAUAAUUAUUUUUCCACCAAUUAUAAGCGAUCCGUCGGCCUUUCGUUGCAACGUGGAUACACGUGUGUGUGGUAAAAAUGCUUCCGUUUUUGCUACGCCAAUCACCGCUAGAUGGCGUAAAAGGAAGAGGUAUAAAAAUCGGAACACCGACUGUCGUACCUCCUAAAUAGGUUAUAUGAACUGUGGUAAGGUAUAAGUCGACAGCAAUUUUGGACCAGAAGUUCGACAAGACGGUUAAAUAUGAGCGAGAAAGAGACCGGAUUUUGGAAUUCUAUACGUGUGAGAAACCAACUGAUUAGGGAGACCAUAGGAGAAUUUUUUGGCACCUUUAUACUGACGGUAAGUUUACAUUUUUCUGAAUUUUUUUUUUGCAGUUUGGUUAUUGUAGAUAAUGCGGAAUUUUACGCGAGUUCCGAGUUAUUUUACUCUCUUAACCCGAGCCCCGAACGAGCCUCUUUGAACUUUUUCGAGUCAAGGGGCUUAUUUUGGGUGGGCAAAGCGUAAUUUAUCUUGACCUCACCCUUCGGAUCCUCUCUUUUUCUACGUUGCUUUUAAACCCAUUUGGACCUCACGAAUUUCUAAACUUGGCUCUACUUUAGACCCGAGAAACUGUUUUUUUUUUGUAGAUUUAAGUCCGGUUUACUAAUGGCGCACUACGCGAAUGUACGCG
rnacentral:lncRNA from 1 species